GACGAGAGCUUUCGCGGCUGGUGUUUACACUCGAGUACCACGGGCCGCCAAAGCCCUUGGAGA
rnacentral:precursor_RNA from 1 species